GACGAACCGUGCGAACGUUGUUCGGAAUCACUGGGCUUAAAGGGCGCGUAGGCGGGUUUUCAAGUCUGUGGUGAAAUCCUCCGGCUCAACCGGAGAACUGCCAUGGAUACUGGGCGUCUCGAGUGUGGUAGGGGUAUGCGGAACUAUCGGUGGAGCGGUGAAAUGCGUUGAUAUCGAUAGGAACACCGGUGGCGAAGGCGGCCCUCUGGACGGUGACUGACGCUGAGACGCGAAAGCGUGGGGAGCAAACAGG
rnacentral:rRNA from 1 species